rnacentral:rRNA from 1 species
AAAUGAAUUGACGGGGGCCCGCACAAGCGGUGGAGCAUGUGGUUUAAUUCGACGCAACGCGAAGAACCUUACCUGGCCUUGACAUGUUGGGAACUUUCCAGAGAUGGAUUGGUGCCUUCGGGAACCCAAACACAGGUGCUGCAUGGCCGUCGUCAGCUCGUGUCGUGAGAUGUUGGGUUAAGUCCCGUAACGAGCGCAACCCCUAUCCCUAGUUGCCAGCACAUGAUGGUGGGAACUCUAGGGAGACUGCCGGUGACAAACCGGAGGAAGGUGGGGAUGACGUCAGGUCAUCAUGGCCCUUACGGCCAGGGCUACACACGUGCUACAAUGGUGCGCACAGAGGGCUGCCAACCCGCGAGGGGGAGCUAAUCUCAUAAAACGCAUCGUAGUCCGGAUCGCAGUCUGCAACUCGACUGCGUGAAGUCGGAAUCGCUAGUAAUCGUGGAUCAGAAUGCCACGGUGAAUACGUUCCCGGGCCUUGUACACACCGCCCGU